AAUGAGCUGACAGCAGAGCUGAAACGGUCACUGCCUUCCACCGACACGAGACUCCGGCCAGACCAGAGGUACCUGGAGGAGGGGAACAUACAGGCAGCUGAGGCCCAGAAGAGAAGGAUCGAGCAGCUGCAGCGAGACAGGCGCAAAGUCAUGGAGGAAAACAACAUCGUACACCAGGCUCGCUUCUUCAGGGCCUUCUCCAGCUCCCUUUGGUUGGUCCCUGGCCAUCCCUCCUGUCCUGGAUCCCUUCUCCCUAACUGCAAAAUGCCUGCAGCUUCCAGCUCCUUCGUCCCUGAUCCUCAAGCGGUUCCCUCCCGUCUCAGCUCAGCGGAUCCCCCAGAGUGGAGGAGGCCUCUCCAUGAGGAGGGGAGCAGCCCAAGGCACCUGGCCUCCGACCCACCGGCAGCGAGUGCACAGGUGUGAGUGUAAGUUCAUGUAGGAGAGUGUAUGCGUGUGCGCCUGUGCCCUGCUUGCAGGCAAGCAGGGCUCCCUCAUGUAGCCCGGCCUUCCCCCUGCUGGGGGUCCACCACAUCGCUGCUCUUUCUCACAGUCUGCCUCUGAUGAGGGCGAAUUGCUAUGACAUUCCAAGCUCCAAUAAAGACUGUCCCAGAC
rnacentral:lncRNA from 1 species